rnacentral:rRNA from 1 species
UGGGCAAUCUGCCCUUCACUCUGGGACAAGCCCUGGAAACGGGGUCUAAUACCGGAUAAUACUUCUGCCCGCAUGGGUGGGGGUUAAAAGCUCCGGCGGUGAAGGAUGAGCCCGCGGCCUAUCAGCUUGUUGGUGAGGUAGUGGCUUACCAAGGCGACGACGGGUAGCCGGCCUGAGAGGGUGACCGGCCACACUGGGACUGAGACACGGCCCAGACUCCUACGGGAGGCAG